rnacentral:rRNA from 1 species
AGGAGAGUUUGAUCCUGGCUCAGGAUGAAUGCUGGCGGCGUGCCUAAUACAUGCAAGUCGAGCGGUAACAGGGUUUCACCGUGUUCUUGACACUCCGGGCUAUAAGCGGGAGGACAGAUUCGAGGACACCGUGAAGCUGCUGACGAGCGGCGGACGGCUGAGUAACGCGUGGGAACAUACCCCAAACUGAGGGAUAACGCACCGAAAGGUGUGCUAAUACCGCAUAUGAUCUUCGGAUUAAAGCUUCGGCGGUUUGGGAAUGGCCUGCGUACGAUUAGAUAGUUGGUGAGGUAAAGGCUCACCAAGUCGACGAUCGUUAGAUGGUUUGAGAGGAUGAUCAUCCAGACUGGGACUGAGACACGGCCCAGACUCCUACGGGAGGCAGCAGUAGGGAAUCUUUCACAAUGGGCGAAAGCCUGAUGGAGCAACGCCGCGUGCAGGAUGAAGGCCUUCGGGUUGUAAACUGCUUUUAUAAGCGAGAAAUAUGAUGGUAACUUAUGAAUAAGGAUCGGCUAACUACGUGCCAGCAGCCGCGGUCAUACGUAGGAUCCGAGCAUUAUCCGGAGUGACUGGGUGUAAAGAGUUGCGUAGGUGGCAUAGUAAGUAGAUAGUGAAAUCUGGUGGCUCAACCAUUCAGACUAUUAUCUAAACUGCUAAGCUCGAGACCGUUAGGGGUAACUGGAAUUUCUAGUGUAGGAGUGAAAUCCGUAGAUAUUAGAAGGAACACCGAUAGCGUAGGCAGGUUACUGGGACGGUUCUGACACUAAGGCACGAAAGCGUAGGGAGCAAACGGGAUUAGAUACCCUGGUAGUCCCCU